CCUGGUUGAUCUUGCCAGUAGUCAUAUGCUUGUCUCAAAGAUUAAGCCAUGCAAGUGAAAGUAUAUAUAUAUUUUAUAUGUAGAAACUGCGAACGGCUCAUUAAAACAGUUAUAGUCUACUUGACAUUUUUAUUAUAAGGAUAACUACGGAAAAGCUGUAGCUAAUACUUGCUUUAUUAUCCUUUGAUUUUUAUCUUUGGAUAAGUAUUUGUUAGGCCUUAUAAGAAAAAAGUUAUUAACUUAAGGAAUUAUAACAAAGAAGUAACACGUAAUAAAUUUAUUUUAUUUAGUGUGUAUCAAUCGAGUUUCUGACCUAUCAGCUUUUGAUGUUAGGGUAUUGGCCUAACAUGGCUAUGACGGGUAACGGGGAAUUAGAGUUCGAUUCCGGAGAGGGAGCCUGAGAAAUAGCUACCACAUCUAAGGAAGGCAGCAGGCGCGUAAAUUACCCAAUUCUAAAGAAGAGAGGUAGUGACAAGAAAUAACAAUGCAAGGCCAAUUUUUGGUUUUGUAAUUGGAAUGGUGGGAAUUUAAAACCUUCCCAGAGUAACAAUUGGAGGGCAAGUCUGGUGCCAGCAGCCGCGGUAAUUCCAGCUCCAAUAGCGUAUAUUAAAAUUGUUGCAGUUAAAACGCUCGUAGUUGAAUUUCAAAGAAUCGAUAUUUUAUUGUAACUAUUCUAGGGGAACUAUUUUAGCUUUUCGCUUUAAUACGCUUCCUCUAUUAUUAUGUUCUUUAAAUAACAAAGAUUCUUUUUAAAAUCCCCACUUUGCUUUUGCUUUUUGGGGAUUUUGUUACUUUGAGUAAAUUAGAGUGUUCAAAGCAAACAGUUAAAGCAUUUACUGUGUUUGAAUACUAUAGCAUGGAAUAACAAAAUUGAACAAGCUAAAAUUUUUUGUUCUUUUUUCUUAUUUUGGCUUAGUUACGAUUAAUAGGAGUAGCUUUGGGGACAUUCGUAUUCAGAUGUCAGAGGUGAAAUUCUUAGAUUUUCUGGAGACGAACAACUGCGAAAGCAUUUGUCUAAAAUACUUCCAUUAAUCAAGAACGAAAGUUAAGGGAGUGAAGACGAUCAGAUACCGUCGUAAUCUUAACCAUAAACUAUGCCGACUAGGUGUUGGAUGAAAGUGUUAAAAAUAAAAGUCAUCUUUCGAGGUGACUUUUUUUAGAUUGCUUCCUUCAGUACCUUAUGAGAAAUCAAAGUCUUUGGGUUCUGGGGCGAGUAUUCGCGCAAGCGAGAAAGUUAAAAGAAUUGACGGAAGGGCACCACCAGGCGUGGAGCUUGCGGCUUAAUUUGACUCAACACGGGUAAACUCACUAGUUUAAGACAAGAGUAGGAUUGACAGAUUAAUAGCUCUUUCUUGAUUUCUUGGAUGGUGAUGCAUGGCCGUUUUUAGUUCGUGAAUAUGAUUUGUCUGGUUAAUUCCGAUAACGAACGAGAUCUUAACCUGCUAAUUAGCGGUUAGUACACUAUAUUUUUAUUUGAAAUUGAAUAUAGGUAACUAUACAUUUUUAUUCAGUAAUCAAAUUAGGAUAUUUUUUUAUUAAAAUAUCCUUUUCCCUGUUCUACUUAAUAAUUUGUUUUUUUUUACUCUAUUUCUCUCUUCUUUUAAGAAUGUACUUGCUUGAUUGAAAAGCUUCUUAGAGGAACAUUGUGUGUCUAACACAAGGAAGUUUAAGGCAACAACAGGUCUGUGAUGUCCUUAGAUGAACUAGGCUGCACGCGUGCUACACUGAUAUAUAUAACGAGUUUUUAAAAAUAUGCUUAUAUUUGUAUCUUUGAUGCUUAUAUUUUGCAUACUUUUCCUCCGCCGAAAGGUGUAGGUAAUCUUUAUCAAUAUAUAUCGUGAUGGGGAUAGAUUAUUGCAAUUAUUAAUCUUGAACGAGGAAUGCCUAGUAAGCAUGAUUCAUCAGAUUGUGCUGACUACGUCCCUGCCCUUUGUACACACCGCCCGUCGCUCCUACCGAUUGAAAGAUAUGAUGAAUUGUUUGGACAAGAAAAAUUUGAAUUUUAUAUUUCUUUUUUUUUUUGAAAAACCGUAAAUCCUAUCUUUUAAAGGAAGGAGAAGUCGUAACAAGGUUUCCGUAGGUGAACCUGCGGAAG
rnacentral:rRNA from 1 species